rnacentral:rRNA from 1 species
GACGAACGCUGGCGGCGUGCCUAACACAUGCAAGUCGAGCGAACAGACCAGGAUCUUGCUCCUCUGACGUUAGCGUCGGACGGGUGAGUAACACGUGGAUAACCUACCUAUAAGACUGGGAUAACUUCUGGAAACCGGAGCUAAUACCAGAUAAUAUAUAUAACCGCAUGGUUCUAUAGUGAAUGACGGUUUUGCUGUUACUUAUAGAUGUAUCCCCGCCGCCUUAGCUAGUUGGUGAGGUAAUGGUAUACCAAGGCAACGAUGCGUAGCCGACAUGAGAGGGAGAUCGGGCACACUGGAACUGAGACACGGUAGAGACUCCUACGGGAGGCAGCAGUAGGGAAUCUUACGCGAUGGGCGAAUGCGGAACGGAGCAAAGCGGCGGGAGUGAUGAAGGUCUUAGGAUCGUAAAGCUAUGUUAUUAGGGAAGAAGAAAAGUGUAAGUGACUGGGAACGUCUUGACGGUACCGAAAGAAAAAGCCACGGCUAACUACGUG